rnacentral:rRNA from 1 species
UACAGAGGGUGCGAGCGUUGUCCGGAAUCACUGGGCGUAAAGGGCGCGUAGGCGGCUCGGUCAGCGUGCGGUGAAAGCCCGGAGCUCAACUCCGGGUCGGCCGUCGAUACUUCCGGGCUUGAGCACUGUAGAGGCAGAUGGAAUUCCGGGUGUAGCGGUGGAAUGCGUAGAGAUCCGGAAGAACACCGGUGGCGAAGGCGGUCUGCUGGGCAGUUGCUGACGCUGAUGCGCGACAGCGUGGGGAGCAAACAGG